UGCAAGUCAGAAUAAUUUAACUGAGGGCAUUUUUCUCUUCAGUCAAUUAUGGAGCCAAGAUAAGCCCCAGAAAACCAUUGUCAGGACUGCCACAAGCCAGGCAGCCUUGUUUUUGUAUCUCAAUCAUUU